GUGCAAACACGCGAAAGGGCGAUCACCGCGUUGCUUAAUCCCCGCCACCACUCCGGCGGCGUACCAUGCAAAGCGGCGACAGCGCGUGUCCUUGACAAUGAAAGUGCUCCCUCGCGAUAUGCACGCGUUUGGCUCGACCCCGACGCCGCUGGAGUGUCCAGGAGAAAGAGGGCCGGAUCUCUGGUUUCGCGGCGGAGCGAGUCAUAGGCGCGUCGCCUCGCCGACUUCUCUCCUCCACUUCUCCUCUCCAUUCGAAACAAGGCUUUUUCCGACUACAAACGACACGGUCCCAGAGAGGCAGGCAGGCAGGCAGACAGGCAGCAGCAGCGGGCAAGCGCUUACGUCAUACCCAAGGUGGAGGGGAAGAGAUCGUCGCAGAUAUUGCCAGGGGUUCUUGAACCCCGUCCCAACGAAACGGCGAUCUCUGCCGGUGCUUUGCGGUUAACGACACGCGCCACCACUUGGUUGCACGAAGCACAGCUGCGACCGGAACGGCACUGCCGACGGCGCGCGGUCUUUGUUGUUGAUUCCGCGCACUUCGAGCGCCGUCCGGAACUGUGCGGUACGCACUGCGAGUCUUCCGUGCCACGUGAUUGCCCGUGGAGCUGCGAAAAAGAAAAAUGAAAAAAAAAAUGAAAAGAAA